rnacentral:rRNA from 1 species
ACACGCAUGACACACUGCAUAUCAAUAAGCGGAGGAAAAGAAACUAACAAGGAUUCCCUUAGUAACGGCGAGUGAAGCGGGAAGAGCUCAAAUUUGAAAUCUUCAAGGUUCUACCUUGACGAAUUGUAGUUUAUAGAAGUGUUUUCUGUUAGUAGAGUGGCAAAAGUUCUUUGGAAUAGGACAUCAUAGAGGGUGAGAAUCCCGUAUUUGGUCAUUCCUCCUAGCUUUGUGAUACACUUUCAACGAGUCGGAUUGUUUGGGAAUGCAGUCCAAAAUGGGUGGUAAAUUUCAUCUAAAGCUAAAUAUUGGCGAGAGACCGAUAGCGAACAAGUACCGUGAGGGAAAGAUGAAAAGAACUUUGAAAAGAGAGUUAAACAGUACGUGAAAUUGUCAAAAGGGAAGCGUUUGACACCAGUGUUGUUUUUCCGAAAAUCAAUUACGAAUGUUUUGUUUUUAAGAAGUUAUGACUUCAUCGGCUUGCUUCUUUCUUUAUGAAACUUUCUUAAUGCACUUUUCGGUUAACAAGUCAACAUCAAUUUCUUUUGUUGUAAAAGGGUAUGAGGAAGGUGGCUUUCUUUUCGGAGAAAGUGUUUAUAGCCUUGUGCCUCUGCAAUCGGAGAGAUUGAGGUCUGCAGCGUAGAUCCUUCGGGGUUAGAUACAUUUGUGCUAAGUUAUAGCUUGUCAUAGAUAACUUGUUGACUAUGUUUAGUCAUUGUAGCUUACUCGCUUAUGCUAUUUUACCUACGCUUAGGAUGUUGACGAGACUGUCGAUCUC